ACGACAACUCUUACAUGUGACCUGACGACCAUAUUGGAUUAGAGUAUAAGCGGUGCAGACAGGAUUGUGAAAAUAUAUCUGUACAUACAUAACAUCACAAGGAAGUGGUAUCUACAUUGAAAGAAUUUUCCAUACAAGGUUAUGUACUGGAAUGAUAGUGAGAAGACUGAGAGUAGCAUAUUUGAGUUAACAGAAAGAGAAAUUAAAACAGACAUCAAGGAAGGA